rnacentral:sRNA from 1 species
UUUUUUUUGUAUUUUGUUGUA